rnacentral:ncRNA from 1 species
AUAUUAAAAAAUUCACCAUUAAUAAAUAUCCCGCUUGGGAAUACAUUUGCAAGAAUGAAAUUCAAAGGAAUUGAUGAAAGCCCACACAAGCAUUGGAACAUACGAUUUAUUUCAAUGCAAAGUGUAAAACCUUGCUAGGACUUGAUGUGUAGCAAACCCUCUUGAAAGAGAAGGGUGCCUUCAAACAUUGAGUUUGGUAUCUUAGCAAACGGUCAAUGAUAAGGGAAAGAAAAGUACGAAUAACAUCGAGUCAUCUUAUGUCACUUAUGUUCUAAAAGUUAUGUAGUGCUAUAUUGGGACAAAGGAUCGCAAUCUUGCAGGGAUGGACUAACUCCAAAAACUAGUCCUUAGUUCAUAUAGUAGGUUGUAACUAAUUACUUGCAUAAAAUUAAAAUCACCAGUAAUCAUUCAUGAACCAUACAAAGGUAAAUGAAUAAAAAAAAAAAAUAUAUAUAUAUAUAUAAAGAUGAAUGCGUUUUCUAAUCUUGUACACACUGCCCAUCACACUUGAAUUGCAAUAGAGGAUGUUGAAGGCACGGUUAAUGAUUGGAGUAAUGUCAUAACAAAGUAAUUGUAUUGAAGAUCACCUCCUUU